AAUGGGCGAAAGCCUGACGCAGCAACGCCGCGUGGGGGAUGAAGGCUCUCGGGUUGUAAACCCCUUUCAGGAGGGACGAAAAUGACGGUACCUCCAGAAGAAGCCCCGGCCAACUACGUGCCAGCAGCCGCGGUAACACGUAGGGGGCGAGCGUUGUCCGGAUUUAUUGGGCGUAAAGAGCUCGUAGGCGGUUUGGCAAGUCGGGUGUGAAAUUUCGAGGCUCAACCUCGAAACGCCACUCGAUACUGCCAUGACUGGAGUCCGGUAGAGGAGUGCGGAAUUCCUGGUGUAGCGGUGAAAUGCGCAGAUAUCAGGAGGAACACCAACGGCGAAGGCAGCACUCUGGGCCGGUACUGACGCUGAGGAGCGAAAGCGUGGGGAGCAAA
rnacentral:rRNA from 1 species